rnacentral:lncRNA from 1 species
AAAAAUUUCAUCAUCUCAACCAAGCUCUCGCACCUAAAACUUCUGGUACUUCCAAAUUUCACUGAAAAACACAACAAAUCUCAAAUAAUUUUCAUUGCUCCUAAUUUCCAAUUACAUCGUGUCAGAAUCCCAAUUUGGCACCAAUUACAAAAACAGUAACCAAUCGGCAGAAGAAUUGGCUCGCUGUCACAACUUACAAUCGUCGAGAAUCGCUACCUCCUUUUACCAUAAUCCUUGAUUGGUUUUCUAACGAGUAAUACCCUCUGCACAUUCAAUUGCUUCCGGUGCUAAGAAAUCAUUUCUACCAUGCUUUAUUCUUCUUCUUCUUCUGAAGAGGAUGGGUUCGAUGUUGGCACACUGUCCUUUUUCACUUGUAUCUUGUUUUUGGGAGUUCCUUUUGCCC